rnacentral:rRNA from 1 species
AUGAAGAACUCAUUGGGAAAGAUGGGGAAGAUGAAGGCUCGUCGGCGAAUAGGCAACGAGAUAGGAGAUCUGAAGAAGCAAAUCAUCGAGGUGGCGGAGAGGAAUGCAAGGUACAAGGCCCAUGAGGCCUUCUCCAAGGCCAAGAAUACAACCAUUGAUCCUAGAGCUCUUGCUAUCUUUCAGCAUGCCUCCGAGCUUGUCGGAAUUGAUGAACCCAAGGCUGAGUUAAUUAAACUAUUGACUCAAGGUGUGUCAACACAAGAGAAAAUAAAGUUGGUAUCCAUAGUAGGAUCCGGUGGAAUGGGCAAGACAACUCUUGCAAAUCAAGUGUAUGAAGAUCUCAAAGGAGAAUUCCAAUGUCAGGCCUUCAUAUCUGUGUCUAGAAAUCCAGAGAUGAUGAAUAUCAUGAGAACUAUUUUUAGUGAAGUCAGUGGGAAAGAUUAUGCUAACACUGAAGCAGGUAGUAUACAACAACUCAUUAGCAAGAUCGCCGAUUUCCUGGCAGACAAAAGGGGUGCGGAGCACCAGGGAGCUCCUGUGUAUUUUCCGUUUAUAGUCUGCUUACAUGACACUAUCAUCUAUACCAAGUACAAUGGACUCUCCUACAAGAGUCACCUCUACAGAUGCUCCAAGGCAAAUUAA